rnacentral:lncRNA from 10 species
AGCCCUAGGUUCUCCUGAAUCCCUGCGGUCCCAGCGUCGCUCCGGACGCUGCCAACCUGUUCUCCACCGUCGCUCGACUUCCACCUCUAAGACUCCCACGAAACUCAGGUUGAAUAAUUCAUCAAAUUACACAACUGGGUCUUGCUCUGUCACCCAGGCUGCAGUGCAUAGCUUACUGUGGCCUCGAACUCCUGAACUUGAGUGAGCCUCCUGCCUUAGCCUACUGAGUAGCUGGGACUACAGAACUCAAGACAUGGCUGCCCAGUGUGUCACAAAGGUGGCGCUGAAUGUUUCCUGUGCCAAUCUUUUGGAUAAAGAUAUAGGGUCAAAGUCAGACCCUUUAUGUGUGUUGUUUUUGAAUACAAGUGGUCAACAGUGGUAUGAGGUUGAGCGCACAGAAAGGAUUAAGAAUUGCUUGAAUCCCCAAUUUUCCAAGACAUUUAUUAUUGAUUACUACUUUGAAGUGGUUCAGAAAUUGAAAUUUGGGGUU